rnacentral:rRNA from 1 species
GAUGAACGCUGGCGGCGUGCCUAAUACAUGCAAGUCGAGCGAACAGACGAGGAGCUUGCUCCUCUGACGUUAGCGGCGGACGGGUGAGUAACACGUGGAUAACCUACCUAUAAGACUGGGAUAACUUCGGGAAACCGGAGCUAAUACCGGAUAAUAUAUUGAACCGCAUGGUUCAAUAGUGAAAGACGGUUUUGCUGUCACUUAUAGAUGGAUCCGCGCCGCAUUAGCUAGUUGGUAAGGUAACGGCUUACCAAGGCAACGAUGCGUAGCCGACCUGAGAGGGUGAUCGGCCAGACUGGAACUGAGACACGUUCCAGACUCCGACGGGAGGCAGCAGUAGGGAAUCUUCCGCAAUGGGCGAAAGCCUGACGGAGCAACGCCGCGUGAGUGAUGAAGGUCUUCGGAUCGUAAAACGCUGUUAUUAGGGAAGAACAAAUGUUUAAGUAACUAUGCACGUCUUGACGGUACCUAAUCAGAAAGCCACGGCUAACUACGUG